UCCAGACUCCUACGGGAGGCAGCAGUGGGGGAUAUUGCACAAUGGGGGAAACCCUGAUGCAGCGACGCCGCGUGGGUGAAGGAGCACCUCGGUGCGUAAAGCCCUCUCGGCAGGGAAGAAGAUGACGGUACCUGACUAAGAAGCCCCGGCUAACUACGUGCCAGCAGCCGCGGUAAUACGUAGGGGGCAAGCGUUAUCCGGAUUUACUGGGUGUAAAGGGGGCGCAGACGGCGAUGCAAGCCAGGAGUGAAAGCCCGGGGCCCAACCCCGGGACUGCUCUUGGAACUGCGUGGCUGGAGUGCAGGAGGGGCAGGCGGAAUUCCUGGUGUAGCGGUGAAAUGCGUAGAUAUCAGGAGGAACACCGGUGGCGAAGGCGGCCUGCUGGACUGCAACUGACGUUGAGGCCCGAAAGCGUGGGGAGCAAACAGGAUUAGAUACCCUCGUA
rnacentral:rRNA from 1 species